rnacentral:rRNA from 1 species
AGCAGCCGCGGUAAUUCCAGCUCCAAUAGCGUAUAUUAAAGUUGUUGCAGUUAAAAAGCUCGUAGUUGAAUUUCGGGAUCAGCAGGUUGGUCGUGCCUCUGGUAUGCACUGGUUUCGCUGAUUCCUCCUUUCUGAAGAACUGUAAUGUCAUUAAUUUGGUGUUGCAGGGAAACAGGACUGUUACUUUGAAAAAAUUAGAGUGUUUAAAGCAGGCUAACGCUUGAAUACAUUAGCAUGGAAUAAUGAAAUAGGACGUUUGAUCCUAUUUUGUUGGUUUCUAGGAUUGACGUAAUGAUUAAUAGGGAUAGUUGGGGGCAUUAGUAUUCAAUUGUCAGAGGUGAAGUUCUUGGAUUUAUUGAAGACUAACUACUGCGAAAGCAUUUGCCAAGGAUGUUUUCAUUAAUCAAGAACGAAAGUUAGGGGAUCGAAGACGAUCAGAUACCGUCGUAGUCUUAACCAUAAACUAUGCCGACUAGGGAUCGGAUGAUGUUAAUUUUUUAAUGACUCA